CGGGUGAGGAAUACAUCGGAAUCUACUCUGUCGUGGGGGAGUAACGUAGGGAAACUUACGCUAAUACCGCAUACGACCUACGGGUGAAAGCAGGGGAUCUUCGGACCUUGCGCGAUUGAAUGAGCCGAUGUCGGAUUAGCUAGUUGGCGGGGUAAAGGCCCACCAAGGCGACGAUCCGUAGCUGGUCUGAGAGGAUGAUCAGCCACACUGGAACUGAGACACGGUCCAGACUCCUACGGGAGGCAGCAGCU
rnacentral:rRNA from 1 species